UACGGGGGGAGCAAGCGUUGUUCGGAUUUACUGGGCGUAAAGGGCGCGUAGGCGGCCACUGCAAGUCAGUUGUGAAAUCUCCGAGCUUAACUCGGAAAGGUCAACUGAUACUGUGCGGCUAGAGUGCGGAAGGGGCAACUGGAAUUCCUGGUGUAGCGGUGAAAUGCGCAGAUAUCAGGAGGAACACCGGUGGUGAAAGCGGGUCUCUGGGCCGAUACUGACGCUGAGGAGCGAAAGCGUGGGGAGCGAACAGGA
rnacentral:rRNA from 1 species